GACGAACGCUGGCGGCGUGCUUAACACAUGCAAGUCGAGCGGUAAGGCCCCUUCGGGGGUACACGAGCGGCGAACGGGUGAGUAACACGUGAGCAAUCUGCCCAUCACAUCUGGAUACCUCCGGGAAACCGAAGCUAAUACCGAAUACGACCACCUCCGGCAUCGGAUGGUGGUGGAAAGUUCCGGCGGUGAGGGAUGUGCUCGCGGCCUAUCAGCUUGUUGGUGGGGUAACGGCCCACCAAGGCUUCGACGGGUAGCCGGCCUGAGAGGGUGAACGGCCACACUGGGACUGAGCCACGGCCCAGACUCCUACGGGAGGCAGCAGUGGGGAAUAUUGGACAAUGGGCGAAAGCCUGAGCCAGCAACGCCGCGUGAGGGAUGACGGCCUUCGGGUUGUAAACCGCUUUCAGCAGGGACGAAGCGCAAGUGACGGUACCUGCAGAAGAAGCACCGGCCAACUACGUG
rnacentral:rRNA from 1 species